rnacentral:rRNA from 1 species
UCGGAUUGUAGUCUGCAACCGACUACAUGAAGCUGGAAUCGCUAGUAAUCGCGAAUCAGAAUGUCGCGGUGAAUACGUUCCCGGGUCUUGUACACACCGCCCGUCACACCAUGGGAGUCGGAAAUGCCCGAAGUCAGUGACCCAACCGUAAGGAGGGAGCUGCCGAAGGUGGAGCCGGUAACUGGGGUGAAGUCGUAACAAGGUAAC